GAUGAACGCUGGCGGCGUGCCUAAUACAUGCAAGUCGAGCGAACGGACGAGAAGCUUGCUUUUCUGAUGUUAGCGGCGGACGGGUGAGUAACACGUGGAUAACCUACCUAUAAGACUGGGAUAACUUCGGGAAACCGGAGCUAAUACCGGAUAAUAUUUUGAACCGCAUGGUUCAAAAGUGAAAGACGGUCUUGCUGUCACUUAUAGAUGGAUCCGCGCUGCAUUAGCUAGUUGGUAAGGUAACGGCUUACCAAGGCAACGAUGCAUAGCCGACCUGAGAGGGUGCUCCGCCACACUGGAACUGAGACGCGGUCCAGACUUCUACGAGAGGCAGCAGUAGGAACUCCUCCGAAAUGGGCGAAAGUCUGACGGCGCAACGCCGCGAGUGAUGAAGGUCUUCGGAUCGUAAAACUCUGUUAUUAGGGAAGAACAUAUGUGUAAGUAACUGUGCACAUCUUGACGGUACCUAAUCAGAAAGCCACGGCUAACUACGUG
rnacentral:rRNA from 1 species